rnacentral:rRNA from 1 species
AUUGAACGCUGGCGGCAUGCCUUACACAUGCAAGUCGAACGGCAGCGGACCUUCGGGUGCCGGCGAGUGGCGAACGGGUGAGUAAUGCAUCGGAACGUGCCAUUGAGUGGGGGAUAACGUAGCGAAAGUUGCGCUAAUACCGCAUAUUCUGUGAGCAGGAAAGCAGGGGACCGCAGGGCCUUGCGCUCUUUGAGCGGCCGAUGUCAGAUUAGCUAGUUGGUGAGGUAAAGGCUUACCAAGGCGACGAUCUGUAGCGGGUCUGAGAGGAUGAUCCGCCACACUGGAACUGAGACACGGUCCAGACUCCUACGGGAGGCAGCAGUGGGGAAUUUUGGACAAUGGGGGCAACCCUGAUCCAGCCAUGCCGCGUGAGUGAAGAAGGCCUCGG